rnacentral:rRNA from 1 species
UACGUAGGGUGCAAGCGUUGUCCGGAAUUAUUGGGCGUAAAGAGCUCGUAGGCGGUCUGUCGCGUCGGCUGUGAAAUCCCGAGGCUCAACCUCGGGUCUGCAGUCGAUACGGGCAAACUUGAGUGUUGCAGGGGAGACUGGAAUUCCUGGUGUAGCGGUGAAAUGCGCAGAUAUCAGGAGGAACACCGGUGGCGAAGGCGGGUCUCUGGGCCGUAACUGACGCUGAGGAGCGAAAGCGUGGGGAGCGAACAGG